rnacentral:tRNA from 1 species
AUUCCAGUAGUUUACCACAAAACAUUGGUCUUGUAAACCAAAAAUGAAGUAUUACACCUUCCAGGAAUG